CAAUAGCGUAUAUUAAAGUUGUUGCAGUUAAAAAGCUCGUAGUUGGAUUUCGGGGCAGCCUGGCUGGUCCGCCGCAAGGCGAGUACUGGUCAGCCGCCCUUCCUCUCGAAAGCCCCGACUGCUCUUCGUUGCAGUGGUCGGGUAGUUCGGGACGUUUACUUUGAAAAAAUUAGAGUGUUCAAGGCAGGCCUACGCCUGAAUACAUUAGCAUGGAAUAAUGGAAGAGGACCUCGGUCCUAUUUUGUUGGUUUCCAGGGCCGAAGUAAUGAUUAAGAGGGACAGUUGGGGGCAUUCGUAUCUAAUUGUCAGAGGUGAAAUUCUCGGAUUUAUGAAAGACGAACAACUGCGAAAGCAUUUGCCAAGGAUGUUUUCAUUAA
rnacentral:rRNA from 1 species